rnacentral:lncRNA from 1 species
UUCUUCCUCCAAGGAAAAAUCAAUGACCACCCAGCAGAAACCCAGUGACUGAAGCUUCUGUGGCUGUUGAGUUACAGAUGUGUCUGCAUGGAAAACUUUCCCUAAUCCCUUGGUGGAUGCUACACAGAAGCCCAGUUCCCAUCACAGGGGUUUCCUGAGAAGGAAGAACAAACAAAUAGAUAAAAGUGAGUCUCUGGAGGCAUCCGAUUUUCUGGCCCAGAUGCUGAGUGAUCUGGAGAGACGCCGUGCAAUGAAAGUAAAGACUGUGCUGAAGGCUCUGUUUCCCGGAGGAAGCCGUGGUUCUGUUCCAGCCUCUGCUGCAGGAAGGGAGGCCAUGCCAGGCACAGUCACAGGAGAUUUGGAUCGUGACUUGGACUAUUUAGAGUUCCUGGUGAAUGACAUUUCGAAGAUCUUGGACAAGGCUCGAGGCAAGUACUGAAUUUCCCUUGUUACUGACAGAAUAAUGCCAAGCUGGCAAAAGCUCACUCAUGAAGUUCUCGUUUAUGCCAAGUCAAGGUUGAUGGAUUCUAGAAACCUUGCCCUACUCCAUUCUGGAGCCUCCCCCCCCCCCCCCCCCCCCCCCCCCCCCCCCCCCCCCCCCCCCCCCCCCCCCCCCCCCCCCCCCCCCC